CAGCCGCCGCGGUAAUACGAAGGGGGCUAGCGUUGUUCGGAAUCACUGGGCGUAAAGCGCACGUAGGCGGACUUUUAAGUCAGGGGUGAAAUCCCAAGGCUCAACCUUGGAACUGCCUUUGAUACUGGAAGUCUUGAGUUCGGGAGAGGUGAGUGGAACUGCGAGUGUAGAGGUGAAAUUCGUAGAUAUUCGCAAGAACACCAGUGGCGAAGGCGGCUCACUGGCCCGAUACUGACGCUGAGGUGCGAAAGCGUGGGGAGCAAACAGGAUUAGAUACCCGAGUAGUCCCUGUCUCUUAUAA
rnacentral:rRNA from 1 species